AGGACGAACGCUGGCGGCGUGCUUAACACAUGCAAGUCGAACGGGGUCCAUCCAGUGGCAACACCGGAGAAGACCCAGUGGCGAACGGGUGAGUAACACGUGAGGAACCUGCCCCGAAGACCGGGAUAACAGCGGGAAACCGCUGCUAAUACCGGAUACCCCCACCGGGUCACAUGGCCUGAUGAGGAAAUGGAUUCCGCUUCGGGAGGGCCUCGCGGCCUAUCAGCUUGUUGGUGAGGUGACGGCUCACCAAGGCGACGACGGGUAGCUGGUCUGAGAGGACGAUCAGCCACACUGGGACUGAGACACGGCCCAGACUCCUACGGGAGGCAGCAGGUGGGGAAUCUUGCGCAAUGGGCGAAAGCCUGACGCAGCAACGCCGCGUGAGGGAUGAAGGCCUUCGGGUUCGUAAACCUCUUUCGAGCAGGGACGAUAAGUGACGGUACCUGCAGAAGAAGCUCCGGCCAACUACGUGCCAGCAGCCGC
rnacentral:rRNA from 1 species